UACGGAGGGGGCUAGCGUUGUUCGGAAUUACUGGGCGUAAAGCGCACGUAGGCGGCUUUGUAAGUUAGAGGUGAAAGCCCGGGGCUCAACUCCGGAAUUGCCUUUAAGACUGCAUCGCUAGAAUUGUGGAGAGGUAAGUGGAAUUCCGAGUGUAGAGGUGAAAUUCGUAGAUAUUCGGAAGAACACCAGUGGCGAAGGCGACUUACUGGACACAUAUUGACGCUGAGGCGCGAAGGCGUGGGGAGCGAACGGG
rnacentral:rRNA from 1 species